UGUUAAUGGUAGUGUGUUGUAUGUGUGUGUAUUGGAGUAUGUUGCUAUGUGUAUAUGGGAGUGUGUUGUAUGUGUGUGUAUCGGAGUGCGUAGCUGUGUGUAUAUGGGAGUGUGUUGUAUGUGUGUGUAUUGGAGUGUGUAGCUGUGUGUCUAUGGGAGUGUGUUGUAUGUGUGUGUAUCGGAGUAUGGAGCUGUUUGUGUAUGGG